CUGGAGUGCCUUACCCCAAGGUGACGACGCCUUCAGCAUAAUCGAAACUGCAGAGCUGUGAGUUUAUCGCAAACUUGGAGUCGGAGCCAGCAUUGGCCCCGCCCCCGGCCCCGCCCUCUCCCCCUGAGCGCCCGCCGCAGGAAGACGCUUCCGCCUUCGGGAGUCUCAAGGGGAGGACAAAUGCUGCAAGGACCAACUAGGCCAGGUUUGGCAUUUUUAGGAAGUAGAAGUGACUGAGGACCUACUUACUACUUCACAGUGCUACUGUCCCGAUUGUUCAAAUAAGUGAACAGAACCACGAGUAUCACAAACUAGCGGAGCUGCUGCAUCAUUCAGCUAACAGACCAAGAUAAAGCUUUAUCACAACUGGUAACCUAGCUAUCAGGGCUACAAAAGGCGUCACACGUAAGCCCUUCAGGUUGUAUGCUCGCUUUCCUACUCCUUAGAAAGUGAUGCACAGUCAGAAGAGAACACUGGAGAAUCACGGAGAUUACUGCCCGUGGGAGAAAGCAGAUGACUUAGUUGCCAAUGGGAGCUUCUUCUGAGGAGCUGUCAACUUACAGGAAGAAUCUUUUCUGCAGAAUCCAGGUAGCACAACUGGCGGCUGCUCCUCUGUGGGCUGAAGCUGCAAUUCCCCUGAGAAGUGCAGAGAGGAGUUAGGGUGGCUUCUUUGAUCCUAGUGCUCUAUUAAGAAUGCCAGCAUAGUCAGAAGCUAAUGUGAUCAGAGUUUCCAACAAAAAUCAGUUUCCCUCCCCUUUCAACAAAGAAGAGCACCUCUCGUUAUUCAGGGGCCACCAUGCUAGCUGGUAGGACACUCACUCUGUGGGGACCUCUGCCUACAGGGUGGGUUGUGGUCUGGAGCAGCAUCCAAGGUAAGGGAUCGGAUUACAGUCUCACACACAAACUGGGUCCCACUCAGGUCUUCCUCCGUUUCUUCCACUGAAGCAGUGGCCUCGGCCUUCCUCUUUGUUGAUAUGGUGGAAUCUGAAAGACACACACAGCUACUCUGUUAAAAGAGUUGAGAGCUUUCACCAGUCACUGCAUACUAAACCUAGGUGAGGUAUGAAUAGCUGCUCUUGCUGUCAUGAGGGAAGACUUAGAAAGAGAGCGAGAGAUGCUGUAGACCACCAGUUUGCAUGCUGAGGCAAAGUUAAUGAGGAAUGGGUGUAUGAAAAUCGGUAUGGGAUGGGAAGGGAAGGUACAAGUGCUUUACAGACAUUUAACCCCUUACCAGGAAGUGCUUUAAAUCCCGCCCCUUCACUCUCUUCCUGUAUCUGCCCCAAGCCUGGCUUCUCUAUUAAAGGACUGUCAUGUGGCAGAGGAGACAUGCAGGGAGUCAUAUCUGGAGAAUGAAGACAGGAAAACCAUCAACUGAGAGAAAGCAUGACAUCAUAAACAGUCAAGUGUCCAGAAGCAGCAGUUUGUAGGUUUCUUGCUUCCUAUGGGGUUAAAAUAAACCCAAACAUGCUCCACCACCUGUCAUAAAGAACUUCACCAGCAACCAGCUCUGACCAAUCAAUGCUGGGUCACAAGUAAAUAGCUAAGCAGGCCAAAGCCAAGGUACAAGGAACAAAGGGAGAAAAAUGAAGAUGGGGUUCCUUUACAAUAGUCAAGUCCUGUUCACACUUGUACUGUGGCACUGACAGACAAUAGGGAAAGGAGGAGAUGGACCAUGGGUGCAGCUUCACUAUUACACGGGAGGGCUCCUCACCCUCCAAUGCCCCAGACUCUAACACCACUACCUGAAAAAGAUGAGCCAAGGCAUGCUUACCCACAGGGGUGUUGUGGGGCACUCUCUCCAAUUCUUGGACAAUGUUUAUAUCCAGCAGCUCAAAGGACAGCAGGUCCUAGAAAAGGAGAUGGCCAAAUAAAAGUGUCUGCAGUGCAAGUGAGAGCCAUGCUCUGUUGCAACUGGACCUACAGCCCUUCUGCACAUUGUCGGGAUUCAAUUCUGUUCCAACGCAUGCCCAUCCUCCAUCAAGUGAAAAGAGUUAAAUGGGAACCAGUGUUCUCAAAUGUCUAACUGGCAGGAGGAGAGGAAACAGUGGCUAGGCAAAUGAAGCAGGCUAAUAUGAAGAGGCCACUAGAGGGAAGCUGUGGGGAAGCACAAGCCUGAGCUUCCAACUCAUGAGGAAACAGUCAAGAAACUUGCUCCGUAGAUGAUCUCACUCCCAUUAAAUACUCGAUCAAGCUGACUGGAUCAAGCCUGCCCAUCUUUAACUUCCCAGAGCCACCUAUGGCUAUGCCACCUCAAUAAAAAGGUGAGCAGGACUCUUUCCUCAGUGUUCAUUUCCUUUCUCCCCCUUGUCCCUCAAAGUGCAGACUGUUUACCUGGGCAGUCAGAAGGUCCACAGAUGGAAUGUACAGUUCUCUCUCACUGGCGACACUCUGUGUCUUCUGUGGGGUACUGGUUCCUGUUCCUUCUGUCUGCUUUGUCACUUCACUCAAUGGAACCUCUUCUUCAGCUAGAAGAAAAGCUUCCUAUAGAGACAAAUAAUUGGGGCAUAUUUAGGUUCCAGAUUCUAACAGUAGAGUCUGCUCCACUAACAAAAAAGCAACAGCAGACAGCAGCAAGUAACAGGCAGGUCAAGAUGUCGUCAGAGUACAAGGGAACAGAGACACAGGAAUAUUCUAGGAGAUGAAUGUUAAGGAGAAAAGCUAGCAGGAGUUCACAGGAAGGCCAGGCAGCCCUUCUUUCCCUGGUGUAGCAAGCACUAUUACAGACACAGACCUCGGGGACUGCCUGCACCAAUACCCUAAGGACACUAAACACUCUGUGGACUGGGCCAAACACCAACACAAAAAUGUACAGGAGGGAAGACUAGCUCCAAAAUCCCAUGUGUGAAAAGUUUGGCCCCUUAGCUGGGUGGUGGUAGUACACAACUUUAAUCCAGCAUUGGCCUUUAAUCUCAGCACUUGGGAGGCAGAGGCAGGAGGAUCUCUGAGUUCCAGGGCAACCAAGGCUACACAAGAGAAACCUGUCUUGAAAAUCCAUGCACACAGAGGCAUGGUAUUACUGGACAAUAGCACAAGUUGGAGUCUUAGCUGAGGUCACUGUGGGAAUGUGCUCAAAGGGAAAUGUUGGACUCUGGUUCCUCCUUUUUCUCUUUUCUUCCUGGCUCUGAGUGGCAUUUUCCCCCUUUCUCUCUCUGCCAUAUGCUUUCUGCCAGUACAGUCUAAUAUGCCAACUAGAGACCUAAAGCAAUAGAUCUGCCUAAUCAUGGACCUGAACCUCUGAAAUGGAACCAAAAUGAACCUUUUUUUCUUUCUAAGUUAAUUAUCUCAAGUAUUUUGUCACAGUGAUAGAAAACUCAGAAACAGUAAAUUUUUAGGACAUCUGGAGAAAUAGCAAGCUAUGAAUGAGUUCUUUAAGGUUCAGGUCCCCAGUGUCCGUUUGUGUCAGACCUUAGAAAGAGUUAGCCUCAAACUUGCCUCAGCCUCCCAAGUGCAUGGAAUAUAAUAGGCAUGUGUCACCAAGCUUGACCUUUCUAGUGAAGGAGGAAGUAACGUGGUAUUCUGGGGCAAAGUCUACAGUGUACAUGCUCACCUCUUGCUCACAGGUGAAGUCAUCAGCUUUGCUUGAGCUCACCAGGCCCCUUUGAAUGUUAUCGAGGCUCUCAGAAGAGGGGAAAGGAUCCACUAUGAUACUGCACCAGACCCGAGGCCCAAACUGCUGGCCUUUGUGGGAAAGACGCCAAUGCGAAGUAUAUGUUCCUUCUAAGGUUGGAGCGAUGAACUCAACAGACACAACCCCCACAUGGCCAGCCUUCAAGCAGGGAACCAAAACAUCCUUCAUUUCUGUAGAAGCCAAUGUCAAGUUUCCCCACAUGAACUUGAGCUGAAAAGAACAAGAGGAAGCUUGUCAUCUGUGUCCCUUGCUGCACUGUACACAUCACUGUCUUUACAUUUAGUGAGGAAAAAAAUACCUUUGUGUCUGUACUCCAUUUCACAUUUCCUGUAUUUUUCAUCCUCCAGUGUUUGAUGAACUUGGUUCCCGGCUGAAGAUGAGUCCCAUCAGGCAAAUUCUCAUCCACAAAUGCUGCACUAAGCGUUGGCAUAACAGGGGCACAGGGUUGCAAAGGAAGCCUGGACAGAAACCAGAUGCUUAGUCACUUGCUGUCAGGGAUUCUCUGCAUAGUCCUGGCUGUCCUGGAACUCGCUCUGUAGGCCAGGAGGCUGACCUCCAACUCAUAGAGUGCUGGGAUUAAAGGUGUGCACCACCACUACCUAGCCUAUAUCAAAUAUUUAACAUCAAUCAGCAUGCUGUGUCAGCAGAAUCAAGAAGCCAAUCAGAUGAGCACCUGACUUGUUCAAGAGCAGCAGGAAGACGAGGAGUGGGAUAUUUUAAGUGGGAAAAUGGCUCAGAGGAAAUCAAAACAGGUCUCCGCAACUUUAGCAGGAUAUGGUUAUCAUCAUGAGCGUAUGGUCCAGCUUCACAGUCUUCACAGAUGUUGUAGGAUGGGCACAGGCUGCGUGAAAAGAACACAGUAAAACCUUCAUAGCAGGAAGUCCCUGAAGUACAACAACAAGAUUAGACUUUAUAUUUGCUCCAUUACUAGCCAUGUUGAGCCUAUGUUCUUCAUUAGUAAAAGGAGAGGAGUAACUCCUAAUCAUACCUAUUUCCAUGAAAUAGUUUACAGGAAGAAGAUACAAGAACAUUUUGAAGAAGGCAGGGGUCUAUCCUCAGUGAUCUAAUUUUGAUUGAGGUAACUUACUUUUGCCUGAUCCUGUUAAUCCAAAUAUGUAUCUGAACAGCACUCAGAAUAGCUCCCAGAAAACCCACAAAAAAGAUAAAUGAGGAGCACCUUGUGCUCGCAAAUCCAAGCCACAUCACCUACUGCUUGGAGACAGAAGACAUCCAGCUUCCCUUCAUGUACCCAAAAUAGUAGGCAGUCACUCCUCUGCCCAGGAAUGGCUUACCUACACUGGUAACGCACACCAAUGAUCCUUUUUUGGCACUGGCUGCAAGCAAUAUGCCAGCUGAACUGGUUCUCUUGUACAAACUGUGUUUCCUCUGAAACAGGCAUUGAAACUUCUGAGGGUGAGGAACACAAGGGUGACUUCUGGAGGACAAGCUUCUCUUGCAACCUCUGUUCAAGCUUCUCCACCGUUUCCUUAACCACUUGUUCUCUGAACUACAAUGCAGAGCAGAAGGUGGGGGUGGGUGGUGGGGUGGGGAGGACUCAGUUUGAGCACUGGAAAAAGUGAGAAGAAACAGCAAACCUGAAAUGUCCCUCUCUCUGGAAUAAGUUAAGAAGAACAUUGCAGAUGGCUACCAGAGCAAUGAACAGAAAUAUUACAGGUUUCUUCCUUUCAUGGCUAA